GACGAACCGUGCGAACGUUAUUCGGAAUCACUGGGCUUAAAGGGCGCGUAGGCGGGCUCGCAGGUCAGGGGUGAAAGCCCACGGCUCAAUCGUGGAAGUGCCUUUGAUACCGUGAGUCUCGAGGGAGGUAGGGGCGUGCGGAACUUCCGGUGGAGCGGUGAAAUGCGUAGAUAUCGGAAGGAACAUCGGUGGCGAAAGCGGCGCGCUGGACCUCUUCUGACGCUGAGGCGCGAAAGCCAGGGGAGCAAACGGG
rnacentral:rRNA from 1 species